rnacentral:tRNA from 1 species
GCGCCCGUAGCUCAGCAGGAUAGAGCAUCGGUUUCCUAAACCGAAGGCCAGAGGUUCGAGUCCUCUCGGGCGUA